UAGGGAAUCUUCGGCAAUGGGGGCAACCCUGACCGAGCAACGCCGCGUGAGUGAAGAAGGUUUUCGGAUCGUAAAGCUCUGUUGUAAGUCAGGAACGGGUGUGAGAGUGGAAAGUUCACACUGUGACGGUAGCUUACCAGAAAGGGACGGCUAACUACGUGCCAGCAGCCGCGGUAAUACGUAGGUCCCGAGCGUUGUCCGGAUUUAUUGGGCGUAAAGCGAGCGCAGGCGGUUUGAUAAGUCUGAAGUUAAAGGCUGUGGCUCAACCAUAGUUCGCUUUGGAAACUGUCAAACUUGAGUGCAGAAGGGGAGAGUGGAAUUCCAUGUGUAGCGGUGAAAUGCGUAGAUAUAUGGAGGAACACCGGUGGCGAAAGCGGCUCUCUGGUCUGUAACUGACGCUGAGGCUCGAAAGCGUGGGGAGCGAACAGGAUUAGAUACCCUGGUAGUCCA
rnacentral:rRNA from 1 species